UACGGAGGGUGCAAGCGUUAUCCGGAUUCACUGGGUUUAAAGGGUGCGUAGGAGGGCAGGUAAGUCCGUGGUGAAAUCUCUGAGCUUAACUCAGAAACUGCCGUGGAUACUACCGGUCUUGAAUACCGUGGAGGUGAGCGGAAUAUGUCAUGUAGCGGUGAAAUGCUUAGAUAUGACAUAGAACACCAAUUGCGAAGGCAGCUCACUGGCCGAAUAUUGAUUCUGAGGCACGAAAGCGUGGGGAUCAAACAGG
rnacentral:rRNA from 1 species